AGUGUUUUGGCACCGGCACGGUGGAGGUGGUUUUAAAGCACGUGGGGACCACUGCUUGGGCAUGUGACAGGUUGAAUAUGUCAGACCAGACGUCUGUCAGCU